rnacentral:rRNA from 1 species
CCCUUAGAUGUUCUGGGCCGCACGCGCGCUACACUGAUGCAUUCAACGAGCCUAUCCUUGACCGACAGGUCCGGGUAAUCUUUGAAUCUGCAUCGUGACGGGGAUAGAUUAUUGCAAUUAUUAAUCUUCAACGAGGAAUGCCUAGUAGGCGCAAGUCAUCAGCUUGCGUCGAUUACGUCCCUGCCCUUCGUACACACCGCCCGUCGCUCCUACCGAUUGGGUGUGCUGGUGAAAUGUUCGGAUCGGCCGUUUGUCGCGGUUUCCGCGUCAUGUGGCUGAGAAGUUCAUUAAACCCUCCCACCUAGAGGAAGGAGAAGUCGUAACA